AACGAACGCUGGCGGCGCGUCUUAAGCAUGCAAGUCGAACGGCAAGAGAGGAGCUUGCUUCUCUCCUAGAGUGGCGGACUGGUGAGGAACACGUGGGUAAUCUACCCUUAAGAUGGGGAUAGCUGCUAGAAAUAGCAGGUAAUACCGAAUACACUCGGCAUAUCACAAGAGGUGUUGAGGAAAGGAAGCUACGGCUUCGCUUGAGGAUGAGCUUGCGUCCCAUUAGCUAGUUGGUGAGGUAAAGGCCCACCAAGGCGACGAUGGGUAUCCGGCCUGAGAGGGUGAACGGACACAUUGGGACUGGGAUACGGCCCAAACUCCUACGGGAGGCAGCAGCUAAGAAUAUUCCGCAAUGGACGGAAGUCUGACGGAGCGACGCCGCGUGGAUGAAGAAGGCUGAAAAGUUGUAAAAUCCUUUUGUUGAUGAAGAAUAAGGGUGAGAGGGAAUGCUCAUCUGAUGACGGUAAUCGACGAAUAAGCCCCGGCUAAUUACGUG
rnacentral:rRNA from 1 species